GGUAUCAUGGCCGAGCGGUUAGGCACCGGUCUGCAAAACCGAUUACAGCGGUUCGAGUCCGCUUGAUACCU
rnacentral:tRNA from 1 species